rnacentral:rRNA from 1 species
UACGUAGGGUCCGAGCGUUGUCCGGAAUUAUUGGGCGUAAAGAGCUCGUAGGCGGCUUGUCACGUCGGGUGUGAAAGCCCGGGGCUUAACCCCGGGUCUGCAUUCGAUACGGGCUAGCUAGAGUGUGGUAGGGGAGAUCGGAAUUCCUGGUGUAGCGGUGAAAUGCGCAGAUAUCAGGAGGAACACCGGUGGCGAAGGCGGAUCUCUGGGCCAUUACUGACGCUGAGGGGCGAAAGCGUGGGGAGCGAACAGG